GGCAACUCGCUGGGGUCCCCUUCCACCCUUUGAAAACUUUGUUCUUUGGUUCUUUGCAAUAAAUGUUGCUGCUGCUCACUCUUCGGGUCUGCACUGGCUUUAUGAGCUGUAACACUCACUGCGAAGGUCUGCAGCUUCACUCCUGGAGCCAGUGAGACCCCGAGCCCACCGGGAGGACCGAAGAACUUCAGAUGCGCCGCGUUAAGAGCUGUAACACUCACCGCGAAGGUCUGCAGCUUCACUCCUGAGCCAGCGAGACCACGAACCCACCAGAAGGAAGAAACUCGGAACACAUCCGAAUAUCAGUAGGAACAAACUCCGGACACGCCGCUUUUAAGAACUGUAACACUCACCUCGAGGGUCCGCGGCUUCAUUCUUGAAGUCAGGGAGACCAAGAACCCCCCAAUUCCGGACACAGGGGGACUUGGCUGCUUCCUGUUUCUAUCAUAGACGCAGCUGGCCUCAGAAUAUUCCACUUAUGGAUGAAAGAAUGAUAGUGUUAUUUUAUGGAAGAAUUUAAGAAGAUGUUGCGGUAUCAUCGACUUUAUUUUUUGUUCAUUCUGAAAAUCACAUCGCCAGAUCCAACACCUUUUUAUCCCAAUCACCAGUACAAGCCACCCGUAUCAGUGUACACUGUGGCUGACCGAUCCAUAGUGAUGCUUUGAGGUGUCUGAGUAGAUUUGGAAAUGCCCAUUCAGCCCUCAGAGCUCCUCUGCUUUAAGGGUGAUGGACUUCCUGUACCACUACGUAGUGCAUGAGUGCCAGCCACUGGUAUCUAGAACUGUGAUUAGUGAGGAAACACUAGGAGGAACAAACAACCCAACUCUUUUUAUCUAAUCUGUUGACUCCAAAGGGACCUUCUGCUUAUUCCAGUUAAAACUCAAGCUGCAAUUCAAAAUGAAAUCAGUAUCUUUUUUCUCUACUUUUCAGCAAAGCAAGAUGCUACCUUAUAAUUACCACGUAACAAUCAAUCGCAAACAUAGUGGCUUAAAGCAGCUCCUCUUUUAGCCUACAUAUCUGCAAACUGGCAGUCUGGACUGAGCUCAGCUGGAUGUUUUUUCUGAGCUGAUCAUGUAUGUAGGGUCUGCUGCUGGCUGGUUUAGACUGAUGGUGGAUGAGAAACCACAUGAAGAAGAGAGGCAUGAUGGUGGCAGAGUUCUGAAAGAGUCACACAGAAGGGCGUUGAGUUCGUGGCUUGAAAAUAGCAUCCUGUCACUUCUACCACAUUCUAUUUACCAGGCCAGCCCAGAUAAAGAUGUGAAGAAACAGACUCCAUCUCUUGAUGGGAGAAGUUGAAAAUCAAUGGAAAAUGGCAUGGAUAAGGAAAGGAGUGAUGAUUGUGGCCAUAUUUGUAAUGGCCAUAUUUGAUACCCUUUUCAGUUUUCCUAGCCACACUUCUCAUUGGCCAGGAAAAUUAAAUGCAUGUCAACACUGAAGAAAACAGAUCUUGGUUAAAAGCAAUGAUGUAGCUAAUAUCCCGUUCAGGUAAAAGAUUACUUAUAUAGUGUGAGACAGGCAUGAGGCAGAGAAGUGCUUACAGGUUGGUUUCUGCUUUGUUAGCAGAUUUACUUUUAGAUCAUAUACUACUUUGUUUUUACUGUUUUAUUGAGAAAAAAUAACAAAUAUUUCCAAAAUUUUGCAGCAUGCAACUCAGUGCUUCAGUUGGCAUUCAAUCAAAAUUUCCUUGAAAUAAAAAAAGACAA
ensembl:lncRNA novel transcript